GUAGUGGUGGAAAGAGCACUUGGUCACAGUGGAGCCAGGCUCUCUGGACUCUCAUCCCUGCCUCACCAGCUGUGUGGCUUUGGGAGAGAGACAUUUCAUUUCUCUGGUGACAGUGUCCUCAUUUAUAAACUGAGGAGGUUGGGCUUCUUAGAGUGAUGGAUUGCCAAGUACCCCAGCGUUAAUAUUCCACCAUUGUGUUUUGUGUUUUCUGAGAUGCCAAGAGUAUCAGAAAUGGAGUGUGACAGUGUUCACUGAGGGCUGUGCUCCUGUAAAAAUGUUGGAGCUGCACUGAGUGAGCUGUUGCCGUCCGGGGCCAAGCAUGCUGUGGUUGGACCUGCCCAGCCGUGGAACAGAAAUGUUUGCUGGAUGGAAAAUCCAUAAAAGAAAGCUCCUGUGAAAGCCUGAGACAGACAGUGACUUAAGCAAAAUCAGGGACACACAGUCUGGUUGGACCAGUGUGAGGUGGAACGGUCGGGAUGUGUGGGAAAGGCCACAGGAACCCUGAGGAGGAUUGCUUUGAGGGAGCCUGUUGUUAAAUGGGUCAGCUUCCUGGAGCAAAGAAUGGAGUGGAAAAGUGGAGCGGUGAGUGGAAUC
rnacentral:lncRNA from 1 species